AGAGUUUGAUCAUGGCUCAGAACGAACGCUGGCUGGCAGGCCUAACACAUGCAAGUCGAGCGAGACCUUGGGUCUAGCGGCGGACGGGUGAGUAACGCGUGGGAACGUACCCUUUGCUACGGAAUAGCCCCGGGGAAACUGGGAGUAAUACCGUAUGUGCCCUUCGGGGGAAAGAUUUAUCGGCAAAGGAUCGGCCCGCUGUUGGAUUAGGUAGUUGGUGGGGUAAUGGCCUACCAAGCCGACGAGUCCAUAGCUGGUUUGAGAGGAUGAUCAGCCACACUGGGACUGAGACACGGCCCAGACUCCUACGGGAGGCAGCAGUGGGGAAUCUUAGACAAUGGGGGCAACCCUGAUCUAGCCAUGCCGCGUGAGUGAUGAAGGCCCUAGGGUUGUAAAGCUCUUUCAGCUGGGAAGAUAAUGACGGUACCAGCAGAAGAAGCCCCGGCUAACUCGUGCCAGCAGCCGCGGUAAUACGGAGGGGGCUAGCGUUGUUCGGAAUUACUGGGCGUAAAGCGCGCGUAGGCGGAUUGGAAGUUGGAGGUGAAAUCCCAGGGCUCACCUUGGAACUGCCUCAAAACUAUCAGUCUGGAGUUCGAGAGAGGUGAGUGGAAUUCNNAGUGUAAAGGUGAAAUUCGUAGAUAUUCGGAGGAACCCAGUGGCNAANGCGGNUACUGCUCGAUCCGACGCUUAGGUGCAAACCUGGGGAGCAACAGAUUAAUCCCUGGAGNCACCCGNACNANAAUGCAANGUUGGNACAUGCUGUCGGGGNCNCUACGAAUACAU
rnacentral:rRNA from 1 species